rnacentral:tRNA from 1 species
AGGUGUCAGCAGGACCAAUUGUCUUUUAACCAAUUGGUCGUAGGUUCGAAUCCCACACGACCCACCA